rnacentral:rRNA from 1 species
GCCCUUAGAGUUUGAUCCUGGCUCAGGAUGAACGCUAGCUACAGGCUUAACACAUGCAAGUCGAGGGGAAACGAUAGAGAAAGCUUGCUUUUUCUAGGCGUCGACCGGCGCACGGGUGAGUAACGCGUAUCCAACCUGCCCACCACUUGGGGAUAACCUUGCGAAAGUAAGACUAAUACCCAAUGACGUCUCUAGAAGACAUCUGAAAGAGAUUAAAGAUUUAUCGGUGAUGGAUGGGGAUGCGUCUGAUUAGCUUGUUGGCGGGGUAACGGCCCACCAAGGCGACGAUCAGUAGGGGUUCUGAGAGGAAGGUCCCCCACAUUGGAACUGAGACACGGUCCAAACUCCUACGGGAGGCAGCAGUGAGGAAUAUUGGUCAAUGGGCGAGAGCCUGAACCAGCCAAGUAGCGUGCAGGAUGACGGCCCUAUGGGUUGUAAACUGCUUUUAUAAGGGAAUAAAGUGGGAGUCGUGACUCCUUUUGCAUGUACCUUAUGAAUAAGGACCGGCUAAUUCCGUGCCAGCAGCCGCGGUAAUACGGAAGGUCCGGGCGUUAUCCGGAUUUAUUGGGUUUAAAGGGAGCGUAGGCCGGAGAUUAAGCGUGUUGUGAAAUGUAGACGCUCAACGUCUGCACUGCAGCGCGAACUGGUUUCCUUGAGUACGCACAAAGUGGGCGGAAUUCGUGGUGUAGCGGUGAAAUGCUUAGAUAUCACGAAGAACUCCGAUUGCGAAGGCAGCUCACUGGAGCGCAACUGACGCUGAAGCUCGAAAGUGCGGGUAUCGAACAGGAUUAGAUACCCUGGUAGUCCGCACGGUAAACGAUGGAUGCCCGCUGUUGGUCUGAAUAGGUCAGCGGCCAAGCGAAAGCAUUAAGCAUCCCACCUGGGGAGUACGCCGGCAACGGUGAAACUCA